GUGGGGAAUCUUGCGCAAUGGGCGAAAGCCUGACGCAGCCAUGCCGCGUGAAUGAUGAAGGUCUUAGGAUUGUAAAAUUCUUUCACCGGGGACGAUAAUGACGGUACCCGGAGAAGAAGCCCCGGCUAACUUCGUGCCAGCAGCCGCGGUAAUACGAAGGGGGCUAGCGUUGCUCGGAAUUACUGGGCGUAAAGGGAGCGUAGGCGGAUAGUUUAGUCAGAGGUGAAAGCCCAGGGCUCAACCUUGGAAUUGCCUUUGAUACUGGCUAUCUUGAGUAUGGAAGAGGUAUGUGGAACUCCGAGUGUAGAGGUGAAAUUCGUAGAUAUUCGGAAGAACACCAGUGGCGAAGGCGACAUACUGGUCCAUUACUGACGCUGAGGCUCGAAAGCGUGGGGAGCAAACAGGAUUAGAAACCCCUGUAGUCC
rnacentral:rRNA from 1 species